rnacentral:rRNA from 1 species
CCUACGGGGGGCAGCAGUGGGGAAUAUUGGACAAUGGGCGAAAGCCUGAUCCAGCCACGCCGCGUGAGUGAUGAAGGCCUUCGGGUUGUAAAGCUCUGUCGGGAGGGACGAAGUUCUGACGGUACCUCCCAAGAAAGCGCCGGCUAACUCCGUGCCAGCAGCCGCGGUAAUACGGAGGGCGCAAGCGUUGCUCGGAAUCACUGGGCGUAAAGCGAACGCAGGCGGCCGAGUGUGUCGGAUGUGAAAGCCCCAGGCUCAACUUGGGAACUGCAUUCGAAACUGCUCGGCUUGAGUCCGGAAGAGGGUGGUGGAAUUCCUGGUGUAGAGGUGAAAUUCGUUGAUAUCAGGAGGAACACCGGCGGCGAAGGCGGCCACCUGGUCCGGUACUGACGCUCAUGUUCGAAAGCGUGGGUAGCAAACAGGAUUAGAUACCCCUGUAGUC